AUCAACAUAACGCUUUCUUACUUUGGGAUGCUUUCCAGUUCGUGGGAAGACUAAGGGAGGACCCUGUUAACGAGGAUGUUCUUAGAAGUCAGGGAGACGCCAUUGGGGCCAAGAAGGAGCUCGUGUUUACUGCAUGUUUGCUCUGUCUUGCUUUCAGCCGGGACAGUCGGUCUCACAGCAACCUCAGAAGAUGGGUGUUCUCACUCUAACAGACGGAUCAACAAACACUGAGUGACUCUAACAAGAUCACAGCAAGUUACGGAGACAAGGUCCCAACCCCACACUGCCAGGCUCCGUCCCCAUGUUGCUAUUUGUAAAGAGAAGGCCACCUCGUUCACUUAGUUCUUCUGGGGAAAAUCCACAAAGUCAGCAGACUGGAGAAGAUAUUCACAGCAUGUGAGAAAACAGGAAUGUGCACUCAUCCCUGGGCAUUGCGAAUUACCAUCACCUCUUGGACGGGAAACUGACAAACUGGAGGAAAGUUGAAGGCGUCAGCAACUUCACUUCUACGCGUCUUGUUCUAAAAUGUGCAAGACGGCGUGUGAAAUGAUAAUCAUUGCAGCCCUGCGCAGAGCAGUAAAGAGUAGAAACAACUUUCACAUCCUUUCUUGGUGUGAUGAAUAAAGAAACGGAGGUUUAAUCAUAGGAUGAGAUAGUACACAAUGUGUGUAGACCUAGAUCCACGUAUAACUAUACGGAUAAAGUGGGAAAAUAUUAUUGAGUCUAAAAGCAAGCUACAGGGGUGCCUGCGUGGCUCAGUUGUUAAGCGUCAGACUCGAUUUCAACUCAGGUCGUGAUCUCGUGGUUUCAUGGGUUCAAGCCCUGCGUCGGGCCCUGCACUGACAGUGUGGAGUUUGCUUGAGAUUCUCUCUUUCCCCCUCUCUCUGCCCCUCCUCUGCUCAUGCUGUCUCUGUCUCUCUCAAAAAUGAAUACAUUUUUAAAAAAAUUAAAAGCAAGCUACAAAACUACUGAACAGCACAAAAACCUUUAUAAAAAAUUUAAGACACAGAAGCAAAGGCAGAUAUAUUUUGUAUAUUCAUCCUUACACAGAUAAGUCACAAAAACAAGAAUGGGAAUAACACACACAACUAUUAGAUUAGAAGCCACCUUUGUGGAGAAGGAUGAGUAAGAGAGAGGACGAAGGACAUUGUUUAAUUUAAAAUGUUUAACUUAAUCUCUUCAAACUAGAAAUAUUUGAAGCAAAUAUUGCAAAAUAAUAGUAUUUGUUUAAUGUCUAUGGGAAGUCAGUAGGUGUGUGUUACAUUUUUUGGCACCUGCCUACAGGUUUGAAAUAUUAACAAUUAAACGAUUAAAAAUGUUACUAAUUGAA